AAAACCUGGAAGCGAGACUACCAACUGCUUCAUUAGGAGUAGAGAUAUGUCAGAUCGGACGGAUAGCAUGGUAUUAAUCCUACGGUCAUCGAGUGGUCUGAUGGGAAGCAAGGGAUCAGUAGUCUGAUCCCUAGCGUUCCCCCUUCUUCCCUCGAUCCCCAACGCCCCCCGAUCCUAUCGCCGCCGCUGCCUACCACGCCUCCUACCGGCGUGCCAGCACCAACGCCUCCUUCCCGGCGCACCGUCGUCCCCGCCUCCUCCCGGCACGAGGCCGCCUCCAGACUCCUCCUGGGACGCCGUCGCCCCCGCCUUCCUCCUGGCGCGCCGCCGCCCCUGUCUUCUUCAACUGCCACCAUGGACCACCACCUCUGCCCCGAUCCACCUUGGUAGUGGAUCCUGAGCGCCGUCGCUGACCAUGGAUCCUGGGCGCCGCCGCCUGUCUUUGGAUCCCGCCCGCCGCCGCCGGGGUCCCCGACUGAAGACGACCAAGCCAUGGAUCCUGGGUGCCAUCGCGGGCCGUGGAUCCCGGGGCGGCACCGCCUAGCUCUGAUCCCGCCGGCCGCCACCGAGGUUCCCGACUGAAGAUGCCCUAUGCCGCGGCACUCAGGCCAUUCGCCACCGCCACCUCUUGCAGUUCACCGCCACCAUCCAGCGCGCCCCCGGUCGCCCCCAGGACGCCAGGAACCACCUGACUCCCCUGGUUCGCCUACAUCGUGGGAUCACUUCGCGUCGGUUCGCGAGGCCACAACCCCUGCCCUCCAAUUUCAUCACUUUUUUGUGUUUGUCCUCUGAAAAAAUUGGCCAUCGUUGCAGGCUAGCUUCACCAGAUUAUUCAGUUCAGCUCUAAACAAAUGAGCAUUAUACUUUGUUGUCCAGUUUUGGGAAGGUUGAAAUUGUUCCAGAAGGUGAAAAAUAUGUCCAAGUAUAUCAGCAGCUUUGGGAAGGUAGAAAUUGUUCCAGAAGGUGAAAAAUAUGUCCAAGUAUAUUUUCUAGAACACCGACACUCUCUGGACAUCAUUGGUAUAUGCUACAAUUAUCCCUCGAGAUUGAUGUUAUCAACCACUAUCAAAUAUUCCCUGGACAUCAUUGGUACUACUAAUCUCCACAUAUAUGCACAACUAAGUGCAAUCAGUCUGUUCUGAACACCUGCAGCAGGCAUGGCCUCAUGCUACAGUUCAACUUUCAAUUACCUGUUACAGAGAGCCUGACAGGACUUCCUCCGCCGACAGACACUGCACGCCAUGAGAAAGUUCAGGGAAUAUUUGAUAGUGGAAGCUACACUGUCACUGUGCACCACAGCUGAUAAAGUUUCUCCAAUAAUGCUGCACCUUUUAUUUCCUCAUCAUCUGCCUUUCUCCCAAGCUUUUAGUAUUUCUUUUGCAUGCCAGAAUGGCUGGAGCGCAAAGUGAAGCCUGAAGCCAACCUGUGUUGUGAGCAUCAGUAGCUAGUCACGUGCUGCGCUGGGCCAACAAAACAGCUUGCAGUUUUGUUCAUUUCAAGGCGGUUAGGUGGGGUGGGAAUCCUAUUUAUUCAGAUGCGCUUGUACCAACACUAAUUAUUUUGAUUGACGUGAUAGUACUAAUCUACUGACAUGGUCCGGGAAAGGCCACUACAGUGACUAAAUUUAACCAGGGAUUCGCACUUUUGUGGCGCUGCAGAGAUCACAUCGUUUUUUC